GCUAAAGACCUAGCCCAANNNNNNNNNNNACACACAAUAACCUACUAAAAUAUUUUAUCAUUCAAGUAAGGACGACUAAAAAACUCACAAGAGCUAUAAUAAAGUACCGCAAGGGAAAGGUGAAAUAAUAAUGAAAUAUUAUAAAGCACAAAAAAGUAGAAAUUAUAAUUUGUACCUUUUGCAUCAUGGUUUAACUAGUUUAAUCAAGCAAAAAGAUUUUUAGUCCGACCCCCCGAAACUAAAUGAGCUACUCCAAGGCAGCUUACUGAGCUAACCCGUCCCUGUUGCAAAAGGCUGGGAUGACCUUGUAGUAGAGGUGACAAACCAAACGAAUUUAGUGAUAGCUGGUUACUCAGGAAAAGAAUCUUAGUCCAACCUGAAGUUACCCUAUAAAAUAUACUACUACUUUAGAGCAAUUCAAAUAAGGUACAGCCUAUUUGACACAGGACACAACCUCAAACAACGGCUAACUCACAAUACACUUAAACUAAGUAGGCUUGAAAGCAGCCACCUUGAAAGAGCGUCAGAGCCUAAUUCUCCUCAUACCUAAUCCCACAACUUACAAAGAACCCUUCAUCCGUACUGAGUACUUCUAUACCACUAUAGAAACUUUUAUGUUAAAACUAGUAACAAGAAGACACUUCUCUUUAAAUGCAAGCAUAAAUCAGAACGGACCGCCCCACUGAUACUUAUACACCUCAACAGCAAACCCAUACUCCCGAAAAACCUACCUUUUCUAUCGUCAACUUAACACAAGAGCAUUUCAAGAAAGAUUUUUAAAAAAAGAAGG
rnacentral:rRNA from 1 species